AAGACGGAUUAAAAUAAAUAAUUGUUAGAAUAUUCACAAUAUGACGCAAUUACACUAUCUUAUAAUUGUGAUUGUGUGAUCAGUGAGUACCUCUGAAACGUCGGUCAUUCCAGAUUACAUCGCGCAACGUCCGAGAAAGCGACUAUGUUCAUGAUCUUUUUUUCUCUUUUGUCAAGUGUGUCCGCAGUGGGCUUCCUGCGAGAGCCGGCCGACAUGUCAGAACGUGUCCUGUGACCCAGAAGAGGCCUGUGUUCUGAGACAGGUGACCUGCUUUAGGGCUCCGUGCUACCCGAUACCCGAGUGCGUGCCCAAAACACAGGUUCCAGUCUGCGACAAGGACUGCCCGCCUCAACAGCACUGUGAACUUACGCAGAUAAUUUCUUACAACAGCUACAUAUACAUUCCUUUUUGCUUCCAAGAAAUGUAGACGUCUUAGGAAGGAGACACAUUCAACUACCACAGACCCAUCUUAAGCGGAACUAAUUCAAGUUAAAUAAGCAAAGUCUUAAUCAAACUUAUCUCAAUUUUAAAGCAUGUAUAAAGGAAAUAUUUAGAAUAAAGCCAAUAUAUAAACUUC